rnacentral:rRNA from 1 species
AACGCUGGCGGCAGGCUUAACACAUGCAAGUCGAGCGCCCCGCAAGGGGAGCGGCAGACGGGUGAGUAACGCGUGGGAACGUACCUUUUGCUACGGAAUAACUCAGGGAAACUUGUGCUAAUACCGUAUGUGCCCUUCGGGGGAAAGAUUUAUCGGCAAAGGAUCGGCCCGCGUUGGAUUAGCUAGUUGGUGAGGUAAAGGCUCACCAAGGCGACGAUCCAUAGCUGGUCUGAGAGGAUGAUCAGCCACACUGGGACUGAGACACGGCCCAGACUCCUACGGGAGGCAGCAGUGGGGAAUAUUGGACAAUGGGCGCAAGCCUGAUCCAGCCAUGCCGCGUGAGUGAUGAAGGCCCUAGGGUUGUAAAGCUCUUUCACCGGUGAAGAUAAUGACGGUAACCGGAGAAGAAGCCCCGGCUAACUUCGUGCCAGCAGCCGCGGUAAUACGAAGGGGGCUAGCGUUGUUCGGAUUUACUGGGCGUAAAGCGCACGUAGGCGGACUUUUAAGUCAGGGGUGAAAUCCCGGGGCUCAACCCCGGAACUGCCUUUGAUACUGGAAGUCUUGAGUAUGGUAGAGGUGAGUGGAAUUCCGAGUGUAGAGGUGAAAUUCGUAGAUAUUCGGAGGANCACCAGUGGCGAANGCGGCUCACUGGACCAUUACUGACGCUGA